GGAUUUUUAAGUGAGGUGUGAAAGCCCCGGGCUUAACCUGGGAAUAGCAUUUCAGACUGGGAAUCUAGAGUACUUUAGGGAGGGGUAGAAUUCCACGUGUAGCGGUGAAAUGCGUAGAGAUGUGGAGGAAUACCGAAGGCGAAGGCAGCCCCUUGGGAAUGUACUGACGCUCAUGUGCGAAAGCGUGGGGAGCAAACAGGAUUAGAUACCCUGGUAGUCCACGCUGUAAACGCUGUCGAUUUGGGGGUUGGGCUUUAAGCUUGGCGCCCGUAGCUAACGUGAUAAAUCGACCGCCUGGGGAGUACGGCCGCAAGGUUAAAACUCAAAUGAAUUGACGGGGGCCCGCACAAGCGGUGGAGCAUGUGGUUUAAUUCGAUGCAACGCGAAGAACCUUACCUACUCUUGACAUCCAGAGAANAGANUAGAGAUACUNUNGUGCCUUUGGGAACUYAGAGACAGGUGCUGCAUGGCUGUCGUCAGCUCGUGUUGUGAAAUGUUGGGUUAAGUCCCGCAACGAGCG
rnacentral:rRNA from 1 species